rnacentral:rRNA from 1 species
UAAGCGGAGGAAAAGAAACUAACAAGGAUUCCCCUAGUAACUGCGAGUGAAGCGGGAAAAGCUCAAAUUUAAAAUCUGGUGGCCUUUGGCCAUCCGAGUUGUAAUUUAGAGAAGCGUCUUNCGCGCUGGACCGUGCACAAGUCUCCUGGGAUGGAGCGUCAUAGAGGGUGAGAAUCCCGUCUUUGGCACGGACGCACCAGGGCUUUUGUGAUGCGCUCUCGAAGAGUCGAGUUGUUUGGGAAUGCAGCUCAAAAUGGGUGGUGAACUCCAUCUAAAGCUAAAUAUUGGCGAGAGACCGAUAGCGAACAAGUACCGUGAGGGAAAGAUGAAAAGCACUUUGGAAAGAGAGUGAAACAGUACGUGAGAUUGUUGAAAGGGAAACGAUUGAAGUCAGUCGCGUCGUCCGAGACUCAGCCUCGCCUCGGCUUGGUGUACUUCUCGGCCGACGGGUCAGCAUCAAUUUUGCCCCUUGGAUAAUGGCGAGGGAAAUGUGACACCUUUACAGGUGUGUUAUAGUCUCUCGUCGCAUGCAAGGGUCGGGAUUGAGGAACUCAGCACACGCCUUUGGGCGUCGGGGCAUCUGCCCACGAUACGUGCUUAGGAUGUUGGCGUAAUGGCUUUAAACGACC